UUGAAAGGGAAACGAUUGAAGUCAGUCGUGCAGUCAUCAACUCAACGGGUAUCGUUCGUAAUUUAUUGCUUACGUUUCCGUGUACUUUGUUGUCUGCUGGUUAGCAUCAAUUUUGAUUGUCAUAAAAAGGUUAAGGGGAUGUGGCUCUUUCGGGAGUGUUAUAACCCUUGGCGGAAUGUGACGAUUGGGAUUGAGGUUUGCAACGAAUACCCUUAGGGCAGUUCCUUCUGGUCUCUUGUUGACGUUCAGAUGGCGACAGCUUGCUGACGUUGUUUGAAUAGUUGGCGAAUAGAUUGGAAGUGUGAAUUAAUUCGUUAAGGAUGUUGACGUA
rnacentral:rRNA from 1 species